GAUGAACGCUGGCGGCGUGCCUAAUACAUGCAAGUCGAGCGAACGGACGAGAAGCUUGCUUCUCUGAUGUUAGCGGCGGACGGGUGAGUAACACGUGGAUAACCUACCUAUAAGACUGGGAUAACUUCGGGAAACCGGAGCUAAUACCGGAUAAUAUUUUGAACCGCAUGGUUCAAAAGUGAAAGACGGUCUUGCUGUCACUUAUAGAUGGAUCCGCGCUGCAUUAGCUAGUUGGUAAGGUAACGGCUUACCAAGGCAACGAUGCAUAGCCGACCUGAGAGGGUGAUCGGCCACACUGGAACUGAGACACGGUCCAGACUCCUACGGGAGGCAGCAGCAGGGACUCUUCCGCAAUGGGCGAAAGCCUGACGGAGCAACGCCGCGUGAGUGAUGAAGGUCUUCGGAUCGUAAAACUCUGUUAUUAGGGAAGAACAUAUGUGUAAGUAACUGUGCACAUCUUGACGGUACCUAAUCAGAAAGCCACGGCUAACUACGUG
rnacentral:rRNA from 1 species